rnacentral:rRNA from 1 species
AACGAACGCUGGCGGCAUGCCUAACACAUGCAAGUCGAACGAGACCUUCGGGCUUAGUGGCGCACGGGUGCGUAGCGCGGGGGAACCUGCCCUUGAGUUCGGAAUAACUCCCCGAAUGGGGUGCUCAUACCGGCGCUUGUAUUCCCACCAAAGAUUUAUUGCCUUUGGGUGGGCCUGCGUUGGCUUAGUUGGUUGGUAGGGUAAAAGCGUAUAACGGGGUCGUUCCAUAGCUGGUUGGAGAGGAUGCUCAGCCACACUGGUGCUAAGACACGGCCCAGAAUCCUACGCAAGGGAGGAGUGGAUAAUACAGUACUAUGGGCUAAAGCCUGAUCCAGCAAUGCCGGGUGAGUGAUGAAGGUCGUAGGGUUGUACAGUUCUUUUACACGGGGUGAUAAUGACGGUACCGGGAGAAUAAGCACCGGCUAACUCCGUG